AAGUCGUAACAAGGUAGCCGUAUCGGAAGGUGCGGCUGGAUCACCUCCUUUCUAUGGAGAAUUGAUGAACGCUGUUCAUCAAUAUAAGUUUCCGUGUUUCGUUUUGUUCAGUUUUGAGAGAACUAUCUCUCAUAUAUAAAUGUAUGUUCUUUGAAAACUAGAUA
rnacentral:rRNA from 1 species